CUGCAGGGAUGACUCUCUUAGGACACCUUUGGAUUCAAGAUGAAAAUACUCUGUUGAAACUGAGCAGC
ensembl:snoRNA SNORD58 Small nucleolar RNA SNORD58